rnacentral:rRNA from 1 species
UCAGGCCUAACACAUGCAAGUCGAACGGUAACAGGAAGAAGCUUCGCUUCUUUGCUGACGAGUGGCGGACGGGUGAGUAAUGUCUGGGAAACUGCCUGAUGGAGGGGGAUAACUACUGGAAACGGUAGCUAAUACCGCAUAACGUCGCAAGACCAAAGAGGGGGACCUUCGGGCCUCUUGCCAUCGGAUGUGCCCAGAUGGGAUUAGCUAGUAGGUGGGGUAACGGCUCACCUAGGCGACGAUCCCUAGCUGGUCUGAGAGGAUGACCAGCCACACUGGAACUGAGACACGGUCCAGACUCCUACGGGAGGCAGCAGUGGGGAAUAUUGCGCAAUGGGCGCAAGCCUGAUGCAGCCAUGC